CCUACGGGAGGCAGCAGUGAGGAAUAUUGGUCAAUGGCCGGAAGGCUGAACCAGCCAAGCCGCGUGAAGGACGAUGGUGCCAAGCAUUUUAAACUUCUUUUGUCAAGGGACAAAAUCAGGCUCGAGAGCCUGACCGAGGGUACUUGAAGAAAAAGCAUCGGAUAACUCCGUGCCAGCAGCCGCGGUAAUACGGAGGGUGCGAGCGUUAUCCGGAUUUAUGGGGUUUAAAGGGUGCGUAGCGGGGCUGUUAAGUCAGCGGUAAAAGCCCGGGGCUCAACCCCGACGAGCCGUUGAGACUGGCUGUCUUGAGAUGUCGAGCGGUGUGCGGAAUGCGCGGUGUAGCGGUGAAAUGCUUAGAGAUGGCGCAGAACUCCGAUUGCGAAGGCAGCAUACCGGCGGCGAUCUGACGCUGAGGCACGAAAGCGUGGGUAUCGAACAGGAUUAGAUACCCGUGUAGUC
rnacentral:rRNA from 1 species